ACAUCGGUUGCACAGUGGUCAGUGCAGUCUGUCGGAUACAGAAAGACGCGGGUUCAAUUCCCCUCCAAUGUC
rnacentral:tRNA from 1 species